UCCUCUCCUUCUCCCUCUCUCCCUCUCUCUCCUUCUCCCUCGCACCCUCCCUCGCCCGAUUUUUCGAACCGAGGGGCGGAACCAUGCCUGUCCACCUCCAGCAUGGUUCGGUACACCCUAAACUGGAUGGUUCGGAUGGUACUGCCUUCUUUGGAUCACCUUUAUUUGGUUCCAAGUCAUGCAGUACAAAGCAUGCAAUGCAACAUUGUGGAUUCACACCUUAUGCAUUGAAAAUCAGGAAGCUAAACUACAAUACACAAUUCUAACAUGCUGCUUUAGAAAAUUUAAAUGAUAGAUAUAUUAGCACAGCAAUAACUGCUUUCCUGGCUGAGCAACUGUUGCAUUUUACUGAGAGUUCCCUUACAUGUCUCAUGGCAGGGUUUAUUGCACUUAGCUGAAGAGUUUGUACAGGAAUAUGUUCAAGCUGGAUUUCAAGACUGGUGGUUAGGCAUAAAAAUCGGUGAACAUAAACCGUAAGAUAAUAGACAAGAUAAUGCGCCGAAAACCAAAUAUAAGACAUUGAAUGAAGCAAUGCAAUGACUAUGCAAACCUGAUUAGGUAAUUCUGACAAUUUCUCAGGAGCCUGAUCACUGCUAUCAUGUGAAGAUUCCUCAAAUGCUUUCUUUGCCUCAUUAGCUUUCCUUUCAGCUUCUUUGAGCCUCAUUUCUUCCUCCUUUUUUUAUGUUCUUCCUCCUCUGCCUUCUCAAUUCGUUCUUUUUGCUCUGCAUGGAAGGUCAACAAAAAGCUAUUGAAAGAAAAGGGACCUGGUUCAUAGAUUUUACCUUGUCCAAACCUUCUUGUUCAAAUUAUUAAUCCUUUAAAUCUAUCACAACAUGAAGAUUCGAAAGUAUGUGAAUGAUAUGCCUUUCUUCUUAAAAUGGUUAAUUCGACAGAGUGGAAAAUUUUGAAUCCUACUGUCUGAAAAAAUGAGAGAGAUAUUCUAAUAGUUAAUACCUAAGAAUUUUUUCUAAGUGGGGGAGCCUAUGAUAAGCCUUAAAACCAAAAAUCAUCACACUUUAGAAUACUAAAGCGGGGGAGCCUCCUACAGUCCAGAAACUUUAUAACACAAUAAGUUACGAUGACCACCAAAUGCUCCAAGAUGAGGUAAUCCAGUGAUUUCCAAUUUUAAAACCAGAAGGCAGAUGGAGCUAUAAAAUUUAUAGAGUUAAUAAUAAUUUUUUUUGAGGUGAAUCAAUAAAAAGUUGUAGUGGCUUAAACUUUAACUCAAUCUUAUUAGAUUAUUCAACAUAAUAUAUACGUUUUUAUUUUCGAAACUCUAAUGGAUAUUUUUCACAUUUCUUAGCUUCUUUUUAUCUAUUUUUUUGUGUGCCAUUCACUUUAUUAAAAAACUUAGUGUAACUUCGAGCAACAUUUGCCACAAGAAUAUUUUAGGCCAAACCUUGAGCAUUGAAACUUUUAAGUAUAUCCAGUUCGACAAGAUAAGUAAGUUCAAAGGACUCAUGGCAGCCACAUCAAGCAGUGAGGGCAUCUUUAGAUCUGGAAGAACUUACAAGAUCAUAACAAUAAAUGAGGAUAGUAGCAUUACUGCUGUUACAAGAACCCACUAAAAUUAUUAUAUCUAAUUUAACUUCACCAGAGUGUAGCAGAAGCACCACAAUUACAUGAACUAUUGACUACUUCUAUAAUCGAAAAAGCUGACUGUUUGAACAAGUAAUGACAAGAGAGCACCUUUAAGCUUCUGAACAAUCUCUUUGAGUAUCUUCUCUUCACUUUUAAGUUUUAACAAUUCUGCUUCAUCUUUCGCAAAUGCUUGUUUUGCCUCUUCCACUUCCUGCUUUCGAAUAGUAAUUCCAUUCUGAAACAUCGCUAUCUUCUUCUGCAAUUUCUCCCUGGCCACUUUACCAGCCUCCCAACAUGUAUUUGGACAGUUCACAAUGCCAUUAUAUUCAUCGCUCCCAUCACAACAAUCUGCAUGAGAGAACAUAAGGUGAAAAAAGAGGGACCAAGAUCAAUAAAACUGCAGUUUUGAAGAUUACAGUGGUAUGUCCUUGUGAAGGGACCACAGAGUUAUCAAAGUUCAAAACUAGAAUUUACAAAAUAGAGAAUUAUUCGCAACAGAUUAAUCCAGCAUGAUAAAAAAUAUAAAACAAUCUUGCCGUCAUACAAAAUCUGUCCGUGUACAACCCUAUGUUAGAAAUCUCUCUCUCUCAUCACAUACACAAAUUUAGAUCAUCAUAUAUCAAUCUAUGAAAGGGAGGGUACAGAUUAAGGAAAACACUUGGCAUAAUAACUUGAUAGAGCAUAUAAUGAUGGCAUGUAAUUGCAAGUUAUGGCAUUUAUGGGUAUGAAUUUAAUUGAGAUAACAAAUGGCCUGCAAAGACAAACAUCUUUCACACUUUAGUAGCUGAUCCAUACUAAGUAUACGGAUUAGGUAAUUCUGACAAUUUCUCAGGAGCCUGAUCACUGCUAUCAUGUGAAGAUUCCUCAAAUGCUUUCUUUGCCUCAUUAGCUUUCCUUUCAGCUUCUUUGAGCCUAAUUUCUUCCUCCUUUUUUUACGUUCUUCCUCCUCUGCCUUCUCAAUUCGUUCUUUUUGCUCUUUAAGCUUCUGAACAAUCUCUUUGAGUAUCUUCUCUUCACUUUUAAGUUUUAACAAUUCUGCUUCAUCUUUCGCAAAUGCUUGUUUUGCCUCUUCCACUUCCUGCUUUCGAAUAGUAAUUCCAUUCUGAAACAUCGCUAUCUUCUUCUGCAAUUUCUCCCUGGCCACUUUACCAGCCUCCCAACAUGUAUUUGGACAGUUCACAAUGCCAUUAUAUUCAUCGCUCCCAUCACA
rnacentral:lncRNA from 1 species